AGAGUUUGAUCAUGGCUCAGGACGAACGCUGGCGGCGUGCCUAAUACAUGCAAGUCGAGCGGACUUGAUGAGGAGCUUGCUCCUCUGAUGGUUAGCGGCGGACGGGUGAGUAACACGUAGGCAACCUGCCUGUAAGACUGGGAUAACUACCGGAAACGGUAGCUAAUACCGGAUAAUUUAUUUCUUCACCUGGAGAGAUA
rnacentral:rRNA from 1 species